rnacentral:rRNA from 1 species
GACGAACGCUGGCGGCGUGCUUAACACAUGCAAGUCGAACGGAACCUUCGGGUUUAGUGGCGAACGGGUGAGUAAAGCGCAGGUAAUCUGCCGCAAAGACGGGGACAACGUUUCGAAAGAGACGCUAAUACCGGAUGUUGUGUGAAAGUCGCAUGAUUUUUACACUAAAGAUUUAUCGCUUUGCGAGGAGCCUGCGUCCGAUUAGGUAGUUGGUGGGGUAAAGGCCUACCAAGCCGACGAUCGGUAGCCGGUCUGAGAGGAUGAACGGUCACAAUGGAACUGAGACACGGUCCAUACUCC